GUAACUCCCCCAUCUUUUUUCUCAUCUCUCCCUGUGCCUGAAGUUUGCUGUCUCAGCUAGGCGGACUGGCUGCUAAACUGGAACUUUGCCUACCUGUCUCGACUCACUUCCCAAGUGCUUGUGUUACAAGCAUGUGUGACCAUGUCUGGCUUUUACGUGGAUGCUGGGGUUUCAAACCCCGACACUUGUGCUUGCACAGCAAGCACGCUUACCCACUGAGCCAUAUAGUACCCCCUUCCAUCUCUGAAGCUUUCACACCUCUCAGCCAAGAAAAGCUAGAACGUUUGGAGAAGCUCGGAUUUGCCCCUCCAUGGUGCCACUGCUGAUGCCCAGGGCCCAGCAAAAUACCUUUCUGCCCACUGGGAUGUGGCAGCGUUUUGACAGACUUGGUUCUAGUCAGUGGAAAUGACCACUGUGCUCAGUGACAUGGCAUCACAAAGUGACUGAGCAGCUUCCAACAGGAACAACAGCGGAGAUGUCAUUGAGCGGGUGUGGAGUUUAAGCAUCCACUUAACAGAUGUCGGAGACCCACCAUAUGGCAGGUAACUGGGACACAAGCAAGAAGUUAAACAGGGGUCUAAGUGACCACACUUAUUUGAGAGUCAGAAGGAAGAAAAGAUGGAGGAGGACUCCAGGAACCUCAGGUCAUUUCAGAAGGAGCCACAGGGGAGGUAAACGUCUCCUUUGUGCUUUGCAGACAAGAGUUUCUUACACAUCUCGGGAAACUCGGGAGAAGUCAGUCUUUGGGCUGCACUUUCAUCCAGGAGGCAGUGUGGGAUGGAUUAAUGGCAACUCACAAUAAAUUAUUUAUCAGAUAA
rnacentral:lncRNA from 1 species